UACAGAGGGUGCGAGCGUUAAUCGGAAUUACUGGGCGUAAAGCGUGCGCAGGCGGUUCGUUGUGUCGGCGGUGAAAUCCCCGGGCUCAACCUGGGAAUGGCCGUUGAAACUGGCGAACUGGAGUGUGGCAGAGGGGGGUGGAAUUCCGCGUGUAGCAGUGAAAUGCGUAGAGAUGCGGAGGAACACCGAUGGCGAAGGCAGCCCCCUGGGCCAAUACUGACGCUCAGGCACGAAAGCGUGGGGAGCAAACAGG
rnacentral:rRNA from 1 species